rnacentral:rRNA from 1 species
GAUGAACGCUGGCGGCGUGCCUAAUACAUGCAAGUCGAGCGAACAGAUGCGGCGCUUGCUCCUCUGACGUUAGCGGCGGACGGGUGAGUAACACGUGGAUAACCUACCUAUAAGACUGGGAUAAUUUCGGGAAACCGGAGCUAAUACCGGAUAAUAUAUUGAACCGCAUGGUGCAAUAGUGAAAGACGGCUUUGCUGUAACUUAUAGAUGGAUCCGCGCCGCAUUGUCUAGUUGGUAAGGUAAAGGGUUAUCAAGGCGACGAUGCGUAGCCGACGUGAGAGGGUGAUCGGCCACACUGGAACUGGGACGCGGUCCAGACUCCUACGGGAGGCAGCAGUAGGGUAUCUUCCGCAGUGGGCGAAAGCCUGACGGAGCAGGGCCGCGUGAGUGAUGAAGGUCUUCGGAUCGUAAAACUCUGUUAUGAGGUAAGAACAAAUGUGUAAGUAACUAUGCACGUCUUGACGGUACCUAGUCAGAAAGCCACGGCUAACUACGUG